UUUCACACUUAGAAGAUGGUGGUGUCCUGU
rnacentral:piRNA from 1 species